UUAGAGGCCUUUUUAGAGGCCAUCUAGUUCCAAGGGGAGAUGAUAU
rfam:Ovis aries breed Texel chromosome 6, whole genome shotgun sequence.